UCUCUCCUUCCCCGCGUCUUCUCUCUCUUCUCUCGCAUCACUCUCUCUCUUCGGCCUCACCCCUGCAACUUCCUCCUCCGGCCACUUGGGAACGUGAGGCGGGCACCAUUGGACUCCUCUGCCCGUACCCAACCUCCCCACGGUGGUAGAUCACGACGUUUUGGCCGGAAAAUGGCGCACCAAGGCCGAGAAGUUUACUGUAGCAAGUGACCGUUGACCUCAAUUCCGGCCACCUCCGGCGACAAAGCCAGGCUUUUUAGAAGCGUCUUGAGGCGUACUUGAAGCUCCCCAAAUAUCUUGAAGCGAUUUGCAGCGUGGAGGAAGAAAGCAUAAUUAGAAAAUUUUACUCUACUUCGGUUUACUUAAUUGUUCGGCCACUUAGAGGUAUUUUCUGACUUGGCCACAGUUAUGAAAGAUUCUUAGAAUAUUGAGUUGUUGAUGCUGGUAAAAUUUGGUAGCCAGAUAUGGUGGUUGACCGGCGGCGCGUGGGCCAGGCGCAGCUGCCUGUGGCGGCGCGUCCGGCCGAUCUUGGGCGACGUGCCGAGCUACUGCUCGACGUAGGAAACCGGUAGCAUGGUCGCCUAAAUAGUACUUUUGCAGGCCAGUUUAGCUUGAGGUCGAGCGUACUUGAGGUUGAGGCAUAGCUGUCAUAGCUUCCGCAUUAUAAAAGUAUUGGUCGUUUAUCUUGUAUUCUACCUUCUUGUACGCCUGAGAAAUAGAUUGCUCUGAUAACUCUUGAGAUUAAUAUUCUUAUGUUUCAGAA